rnacentral:rRNA from 1 species
AGUCGAGGGGCAGCAUGAACUUAGCCUUGCUAAGCUUUGAUGGCGACCGGCGCACGNUGUGAGUAACACGAUAUCCAACCUGCCGAUGACUCGGGGAUAGCCUUUCGAAAGAAAGAUUAAUACCCGAUGGCAUAGUUCUUCCGCAUGGCAGAACUAUUAAAGAAUUUCGGUCAUCGAUGGGGAUGCGUUCCAUUAGGUUGUUGGCGGGGUAACGGCCCACCAAGCCUUCGAUGGAUAGGGGUUCUGAGAGGAAGGUCCCCCACAUUGGAACUGAGACACGGUCCAAACUCAUACGGGAGGCAGCAGUGAGGAAUAUUGGUCAAUGGACGAGAGUCUGAACCAGCCAAGUAGCGUGAAGGAUGACUGCCCUAUGGGUUGUAAACUUCUUUUAUACGGGAAUAAAGUGAGGCACGUGUGCCUUUUUGUAUGUACCGUAUGAAUAAGGAUCGGCNUAACUCCGUGCCAGCAGCCGCGGUAAUACGGAGGAUCCGAGCGUUAUCCNGGAUUUAUUGGGUUUAAAGGGAGCGUAGGCGGACGCUUAAGUCAGUUGUGAAAAGUUUGCGGCUCAAACCGUAAAAUUGCAGUUGAUACUGGGUGUCUUGAGUACAGUAGAGGCAGGCGGAAUUCGUGGUGUAGCGGUGAAAUGCUUAGAUAUCACGAAGAACUCCGAUUGCGAAGGCAGCUUGCUGGACUGUAACUGACGCUGAUGCUCGAAAGUGUGGGUAUCAAACAGGAUUAGAUACCCUGGUAGUCCACACAGUAAACGAUGAAUACUCGCUGUUUGCGAUAUACAGUAAGCGGCCAAGCGAAAGCGUUAAGUAUUCCACCUGGGGAGUACGCCGGCAACGGUGAAACUCAAAGGAAUUGACGGGGGCCCGCACAAGCGGAGGAACAUGUGGUUUAANUUCGAUGAUACGCGAGGAACCUUACCCGGGCCUUGAAUUGCAACUGAAUGAUGUGGAGACAUGUCAACCCGCAAGGCAGUUGUGAAGGUGCUGCAUGGUUGUCCUCAGCUCGUGCCGGGAGGUGUCGGCUUAAGUGCCAUAACGAGCGCAACCCUUAUCGAUAGUUACCAUCAGGUUAUGCUGGGGACUCUGUCGAGACUGCCGUCGUAAGAUGUGAGGAAGGUGGGGAUGACGUCAAAUCAGCACGGCCCUUACGUCCGGGGCUACACACGUGUUACAAUGGGGGGUACAGAAGGCAGCUACACGGCGACGUGAUGCUAAUCCCUAAAGCCUCUCUCAGUUCGGAUUGGAGUCUGCAACCCGACUCCAUGAAGCUGGAUUCGCUAGUAAUCGCGCAUCAGCCACGGCGCGGUGAAUACGUUCCCGGGCCUUGUACCCAAAAACCGUCAAGCCAUGAAAGCCGGGGGUAACCUGAAGUGCGUAACCGCAAGGAG